AAAAGACUUGUUGCUGUUACUUAAAAUAAAGGCAAAGAAAAUGUGUCAAUUUGUGCAUGGACUUAUCCCUAAAUGUUAGAAAUAACGAAUCUUUUUUUUUUUUAAAUUGAGGUAUAGUUGAUUUAGUGGUCUUAAAAUAUAUGACAAUGAGCUUGACCAUGACUGGUCAUAAGCAGAGAGACAGGGGUUCAUCAGAUGUGGACCAGGUGCAGAUCUACCUUGUGGCACAGCCAACGGUGAUGAUUGGUCAAGAAAGGCAGCCAGGAGCUGCAAAAGCACUCCUACUCCCACCAUCCUGGUGACCAGAGCACCCCUCUUCCAAAAAUCCACUGCCACCCAACAACAAAACGUUAAUGGCUGGCACUCCUGGGAUCUCCAUACCUCCAUUCUGAUUGGUCAGUACCUAUAUCUGCUUGUUGAGUCUCUGAAUAUCAUAGAUGUCUAGGUAGCACGACAAAGUCAAGUAGAAACACCAGACUCCUACAUUUCAGCCCAUGGAAACGCAUCUAUGUCGGCAGCUCUUAAAAGAAGUCGAGAUAAGCCUAAUAGAAUUCAAGCAGGCAAACAAACGUAGGGACAUUUAAUACUUCUAAUCUGUGUGUUCUACUUAUGUUUUUAUAGGUUACUCUGGGUACAUUUGAUAAGGAGUCUUAAUCUUUCCACUCUGGAUGAGUGCUAUACACACGGAGAAAACACAGUCAUAGGAUUUGAGCACCCACCGACAAAGGUCCUGAACCUGCCAAAUACCCUGCAAAUCUCUUGUGAUAUUUAUACCUUUGGCAACUAACCUUAAACCACAUGGAGAAGAUGGAAAGGGAUGGAGCUUGACCCAGCCCCCGCCAUUUGGAAGAGCACAGAUAUAUUUGCAAGAUCUGCAAAACUCCGCCAGGCUUGUACGUGCCCCAGAACCAGAAUAUGCUUUCCAUAAAACCUAGACAGUAUUCUAAGAUAUCCGGCAUUCCAACUAGUAGCAUUACUUAAGACUUAUAUCCUUUGGGGGCAUUUUUUCUUUGGAAGAAUUAAAAGGAGGGCUUCUGAUGAGAUAUGACCGGGGGUCUGGCCACGGAGGAACAAGUGCGUAUCCUGAGGUUGGAGGAGCCCAGCAGAAGCCAUCGGCUGGCAUCACUGCAUGUGCCCAUGGUGACUGCGUCACAUGCGAGUGGAAGCGGUGACGUCGGUGGGAGGAGGCACAGGGGCUGAAGACGGCAGCAGGAGGAGAGUACGAAUAGGGCUGCAUUCCCGCUCCCGCGCCCUGUGGGCCCGUGUUCCGUAUCCCCAGCAUCGACCCCUAGCUCACAGUGGACAUUUAGCAAAUACAUGUUGAGAAAAUGAAUAUUCUUAGAGACGAAAUGAGAGCUUCGCUCCCCAGGUGAACCCUUGAGUUUGAAAUGUGUAUUCUCGCUCCUCUUCGAGUGCGAGUGAAUAAGCACACGAGGAAAAGGAAAACGAAGGCGUCUCCAGGAGUUCCUCUCCUGAAAACGUCUCAGGGCUGUUCUUCGACCAUCCUAUUGUGAUGUGUUCCGUGGGCGGCAGCUCCCGCUCUGUCCCCAGCGUUGACACAGGUAGGUGCUCAAGCAUCUCCACGUUACCUACACACAUUCAAAGCAGAUCGGGCUUUUAAUUCACUGUAACAGAUGGAAAAUUUCCAGGCUGUGGACCACAAAAGGAGGAAGAUUUGAGAGUCUUAUUGUUUUAAUCCUGUUCCUUUAACGGGCCCUACUGCUCGGUAAAUAAGGCAGACAUUGGAGUCUCCUUGGGUUUACUUUUACCAAAAACAACUGAACUGAAAAAAUGCUCCAGAGGGUUUUGCACCCACCCCCAUCCUGGGACUGCAGUCGUUUUACUCAUAAAAUGCUUUCAACAUGACCUCCCAAGAUUUUUGACUCUUAUUGCUUGGGUGACACUGGAGGCUAAAAGGAGGCUUCUUUUAAUAACACAUUUGCAUAAGUUGAUCUGAAAAAUCCCCCUGUGAUUACAUGACUCCAGGGUUGGCCUGUCAUCUCAGAAAAGCCUGAGGUAGUCGUCCCAAAGAGAUCAAAACUCAAGAAUUAACCAGUCUUCAUACAACGGGAACAUCUCUAGGAGCUGUAAAACAAAUGAUUAUCAUUUCUUUUUGGCGUUGGACUAUGCCAAGCUAGAGAAAAACAGAGCUUUCAAACGCUGACAAUCUGGUAUAUUGAAGUAUGACCAUUAUUUUUUAUUUUCCACAUUUUUGGUCCAAAGACAGUUCUGAGUAAUUGAUUCCCAUAAUGAGCUAUGGUUCGUUAGUCAAUUUAAUUUAUAAUUGAAUUGGAUGGAUGUAACUCUGUGUAAAAUUGUCUCUGAAGAAUCUGUUUUGUUCGUCUGUUCAACUUCUGACAGGGAUGGAAGAAAAUCUAAAUUAUUCCCUCCUGCAAGGGGAAAAAUUCAGAGUCUCAGCUUCCCUGGUGAAAUUAAGAGAAAAAAAUAUUUUUAAUAGGUGCCAUGCAAAAAUAUUAUGGCUUCCCUAAAAUUUACACAAGCGUGUCAAUUAACACAUUCAAGGCGAGGGUGAUGGAUUCGGGCAUCUGAGCACAUGCCUGAGGCGAAGACCCUUCCCGAGCCCUGAGAAGGAUUUCUCAUUAUUAGAGGGGUCACGGGGCUCUCUGCCUUUAUUUUUAUCAGUUAUUGACAAAGACAGUCUCAUUGCUGCAUAAAUGUACCCGGAAAACAAUAGCUCUAAUUCUCCAGGUGUUUGGUAAUCACCACAACUUGUGUUUUCUAUACAUUUCUGAUAAUGGUGUAAUUUGGGGAACAAUUAUUCAAAUAACCACGUAGAGGGGUUUUUGAAAGACUGUCAGGAAAUAGUGAACUUUAAUUGUUAACAACAGGCUUUCCUUUUUGCUCAAAGAUUUUUUUUUCCCUCCGGUUCCCCGAGCCCUUCGCAUUUAAAACUUUUAUAACCAUCUUAGCACACACUCAAAACAAAGCCAUAAUUAUGUAAAAAGAAAUGUUUUACAGUUAAUGCCAUCUAAGACACUCACCAAGUGCCAAAAUGCAUAGGAUUUUGGUAAAAGGCCAUCUGUUCUUGGAGGAUAAUGCAUGCAAACUCCUCUUGUGCAAAACCUGAGGCAGGAAUAGUCCUCCGCCUUCGAUCACACCUAUGGAGCUGGCUUUGAUACUAUGCCCAGAAGUGGGUUACAGGCUGUGAUUUGAAUGAAGUUUAAUCAUUUUUAGAAGCGAAGAGCCUUUAGGGUCCUCUUGUUCCCUAAGACUUAUUAUAUCUCAGGAAGGCAAAGGCGCAGGCUUUAUUCUUCCUCGCGCCCAGUGGUUACAGAGCACUAGAUCUCUAGCGAUGGACCGUUGUGAGAAACAGACUGACCGGAAGAAAAGCUGGAUGAAAACAGCUGUCACCUGACAUCAUCAAGCCCUGCUCCGAAGGGGACCAAGAGAUCGUGAAUUCAGCAUCCCCUAAUCUGACGGAGAAGGCAUUCUAUCACUGCGUGUCCACUGCCAUUUGUCUGGGCUUUAAUCUAAUCCCCUGCAAAUGUUAGAAAUAUAUAUUUCAGUGAGUUACAAUGAUAUGGAUAAAUAGGGUUGAAUUGAGGCGGGUCAGGAUCUAAAGGUCAAGUGUUACAGCUCCCAAGAGACCCGUCUUGGGCUCUUUCUCUCCGAGCACAUACACCAACCGCUCUCUUUUCCUCUGAUCUUCGUAGGGUUUGAGCCACUUUUUUUUUUUUUUAAAUUUCUGACACAGACCAAAGACGCUAUCUCCUUUGGAAAAAAUACUGCCCCACGAGCCAGGCGUGGCGUGGGCUCUCUGCUUCUAGGCAAAGUGGGAAUUCGCACGAUCCAGUGAACAAAAUGGCCAGAGACCACUUGAAUUCAUAAUCGUGCAUUCCUCCCAAAGAAUUUUUCAGCAGAACUCAUCUUUCCUGCACGUCAGCUAUGGAAAAUGGAUUGAAAGGUGAAUCUCACAGAAUAGUCAAACCCGCAUCAAUCAUUCCUACAUAAUGCACAGUUCAGUGAGGGCCGAGUCCAGAGCCCAGAUAAGCAGUGUCACAGUAAGUUAUGUUCUAUGACAGCAAAAUCAGUUGUGAUCAAUCACCUGGUAACCGGCCCAAGUUACCUUUUCACUUUAGUUCUGAACCUCUUUCACGUGUACUUUGAAAAGUAUUGUUUUUAUCUAAAGUAGUCCAUCAAUACAGGGAUCAAUACGCAUUCAUUUCCAACGAACAAGGACAAUGGUGAGCGAAUUCCUUUCAACACUUUCAGAGCAAGAAAUGUUGGGUUGAAGAGUCGAUCAUUAAUAUGUCAAAUUUUAAGCGAGGGUCUUAAAAAUCUCCGCUAGAAUAACCCUGGACGAGCGUCCCUAGUCCUUCAAGACAACUGUUCUAUUUCUGAGAUUUUCAGCAAAGUCAUUAAAACCUUGUAUACUGAUAGGUCCUGCCGUUUCAAGCCAGAUCCAAUAACAUGUAAAUCAUUAUUCGUUGAUAGUUACGGCCUUCGUGCAAUUUUAUAGUGCAUUUUGUGCGCAGAGGUGAGAGUCUCGGCAACGGCUCUGUGGUGUCAGCAUGAAACACAGGCAUCGUGGAAGGAGGCCUGAGCUCAGAGAGAAGAAGGAAGAUCAGACACCUGGGAUGCAGGUCUGCCUUUCCUCAGUAUUCACUGGUUCUUUUCCCUAGUCCCCUGGGGGGGACCAUGGCUUAUCUUUCACUGUAUUCAGGAGCUGCUAGUGUCUUUCCUGCACUGACACCGAUGGUAAAGGAAUAGCCCUUCGAGGUUUUGCUCCAGCAUCUCAGAGUUUGGACGUAGAGCCGCAGCUUGCCAUUGAUUUAGGGGCUUUACUUCUUCUGCAGAGGUUGGCCCAGAGAAGCGGGCAGGUGUCGCAGGAUUGGAUGGACCAUCAAGAGGCCUUAAAAGAAGCAGCAGGCUUCAGGCUUUGAGAGAAAGGAGGGAGACGGGGCGGGAAGUAGGAUGGGCGAGAAGGAAGACACUGGGUCCCCCCGGACCAAGGUUCUUCUUUUGAGGGAACCCCCCUCCAUAGAAAAAAAAAAAUCCCUCGAGCAUACAUCUAUACGUGUUGGCUUAUAGAUUACACACAUGUGCUUCUCUCUUUAGGUACCACCUCAAGCACAGCGCCCAGAGCAACAGUGAUCAUUUGUGACAACAAAGGUAGCUGCCUUGAAACAUUUUUGUUAUUACUCAUUUUGGUUGACUUACAGCCAUAUAAAGUUAUCUUGCCCUUAUUUUAGUUAGGAUUGGCUGUUGAAGAGCUCAAGCUAGGAAGAGAUGGCGUCAGCUUUAUGUUCAUCUGACUGGUGUCAUCUUUGAUCUGAGUUCUUUAAUCCGCCUUCAACUCAAACUGCAGUUUUGCAGCAAUUUGCAAACAUAAGGUAUCCACUUUGUGAGGUCAGUGUAACUAAAGUUGGACAAGAGACUCAGAGAAUCCAUUUUAUCAGGCGGGUGCUGUGGGUUGUCGGUGCUCUCCUGCCACCCCUCCGAAUUCAGCGGUUCCCACGGCCCUCAAGGCAAGCUGGUAUCUGCAUAGCUAGGUGGGCACAGAUGUCAAUUCCAACAGCAAAUACUUAAAAGACUUAUUUUUUUAUAAAUACAAAUGAUCGUCCCACAUGGCCCCUAUGAAAGAACAGGGUACUAGGCUGCAGGGAAAAUGCCCCACUGCUCUCUGGGUAGGAACAGACUUCAUGUGACGUGAAUACCGGAGACACUGAAUUCUGUCUUCACCUUUGGGGCAAAGUAGGCACAUAUCAUAGACAAAGAGAGUCCCUGCGGCUCCCUCUCCCUUGAAGCAAUACAUAAAGAUGGAGAUUUAUUUUUCUAUCCAUUAAUUCUAUAAAUAUUUACUGGAAACAAUCUGUAAGUCUGGCAUAUUCAGUCUCUCUGUCCAUAUGGAAUUUAUGGUCUAAUGGAGAAUAUGGAGGCAGGAACUCAGAAUCCAUCCAGAUCGGUGCGUUAAUGACAGCGACCACAGGUGCUCCGUGUACCAGCAGGGAAAGCCCACCCACUGGGAUGUGUGAGGUAGAAGCUUCCCAGGGGAAGUGAUAUGGGAGUUGAUGCCUUCAGACCGAGGAGGGCUGGCCCUGAAGGGAGAGAGCAAGGUGCCUUAGAAGAGUGGAAGGAAGUCCUGGAAGGCUGGUGUUUGGAAUGCAAGGUAGUGGGAAAUGAGACCCAAGAAGCAGAGCAGUGGGUGCAGAAUCUGACUGUAGAGGCUCGGGUUGCUGCAGGGCUUGGGUUCAACGCCAAGUCUGGGUGCCAUGGAUCAAAGGAUCUGGCGUGGAUUCACCAAGAACCAAAAGAGCCAGCCAGUGAUUGGACCCGCACCACAGCAGUGACCCGAGCCACAGAAGCGGCAACACGGGGUCUUUAACCCACUGCCCACAAGGGAUCUCCCUGGCAAGGGCUUCUUUAAUCCGUUACUAAAGUUUGAACUUUAUCCUGAGGGCGAAGGAAAGCCACUUCAACAAGGGCCAGACGAGAGGAAAUCAGGUACAGAAAGAAUUUACUGUGAUGUGCUAAGUACGCAGUGAGCGGCAGCUUUGAUGAGCGUUAUUGACGUAUCAUUAUCAAAUUUGAUUUAUCAAUCGUGGUAUCAGCUUUGAUCUGUGGAGUCAUCCUUCUAGGUGCGAUUUGGAGAGCAGAUGGAAGGGGGAAAGCCAUUUGACUGAGCUCCGUAUUCUUAAUAAUUUCUUCUUUUUUGCCUCCUGAGAUUUGCUGAGCCCCCUUCGUCUACGCUACCCCUUAAAGAAUCUUUUAUAAAACUUUAAUUUUAUCUACUUAUUUGCAUCGAAAUGGACCAAGGGGGAAGACGUAGGAGGGACAUGGGGGAAAAGAAAUGGCUAAGACUUGGCUCAGUGUUUCGAGGAUCUUUGGUCAUAGACAGUCGCACAUCCCAUGUGGAAAGCUUUGCACCCGGGGCCAGUUAGUAGACAUGCCUAAUAAACACUUGCUGACUGACAUAGGUUUUCUGGCAAAUGGAGGAACCCUCUCACUCCUGAAUGCUCAGAUGACUUUGCCGCUUCCUCUAGGAAAAUGUCUGGUUUCUUCCCUCUUCUUGCAGUGUGUGUGUACGUGUGAUGCGUGUAUGUUUGCUAAGUUGAUGUAUUUCCGUGGUCAAUUCCUUUGGUCUGCCCUCCUGGAGCAAUUAAAGAGGCAAUAAGUAAAAAUAAACAAAAAAGAAGAAAAGAGGCAAUUCUCUUCUCUUUUAAACAUUGUCCUGGAUCUUCUGGCCUACCGUUGCUGCCCUGGCCUCACAAGUCUUGGCCCAUUGAGGUGACGUCUUCACGACACCAAGGGCUUCAGCAUUUCCUUAGACCACAUCGUUUUUACAAAGGUAUUGUCGAUGGUGUUGCUGACAGUUUCGAAGAUACUGUCUCUUGGUGUCGUCAGCAUCCGCACGGAAACAUUUAGAGAGAUUGCUGUCCUUUGAUGUCCGCAGGCUGCCAUAUUUUUAAAGGGAAGCAGCCCCCAGACUCUCUCCGGUGAGUGAGUCUUGGUUCAAAACCUGUCCAAACGAACACAGAUGUGGAGUUUCAUGUUCUUCGUGGGGAAGAUGAGCUAUGGAGAAUCAUCUUCGAAAUGGUCAGAGGAAUCCAUCAAAAGUACCUUUUUUAAAGGAACGGGCACAGGCUGUUAAGGGAUACAGGACAAGAUGCUAUAAAAACCUAGCUGUGUUUUAGGCAUUUCAUCAUACAAGGAAAACAGGUGGCUUAUUCCCAUUUUUGGAUACACUAAUACCUGCUGUGCUGAAAUUAAACAUCGCAUGAAACAGGUAUUUAGAAUGCCCAUCAGAAAAAAUGAUUAAAAACAGUAAAUCCCAGGCCCAUGAGGCCCAGACUCAAUCUGGCAAGCAGCCUACUCUGCAAAAGACGUCCUACUUUUGCAGACAGCAAACUUCAGCCCGGCCGGGCAGAGACCAGGCACACGUACUGCAAGACAUUCUUGUCUUUUUCUUUUGGCAUGAAGGGGACUACUGAUGCCUCAUCCUUCUCUCCGCUAAGAUAAAAUUUAUGCCCCAAGGAAAGAACUUAAUUCCCUGAGACAAGCGUGUGAAACACCCACAAAAGGAAAUAUGUGCCAACAAGAAGAGCCCCUCCUCAGAGGACGUGGGAGCGUCUGCCUGUGCAGGGCGAGAAGGACGCAGUCUGUAUGUGGCAGGGGUCACAUCCGCUGUCAAAGCCUGAAGCUGGACGAUUCCACCACCUCAGCGUCUUACCUGCGGUGAGAGCUUCUUUUCCUCCAAAGAAACCGCCAACCGAAUAUUCGCCUGUGAUUCUGCUUAACAAGGCUGAAAGUACGCGAGGCAGACAUAAUUCAAAGCUGGCAUUCGGAAGCUAAGGGUGUGUGCCCUUAGGAAAGGAUGAUGUGUGCGUGUGCCCACUGUCAAGUUAGAGUUUAUCUUUGACUUUUAUGUGUGCGUUCCCUUUGGGGUGCACUUUUGUCCAAUACCAUUCCAGAUUUAUACGUGUAAUAUAACCCAGAGAAUGAAGCCUACGAUGCAAUUCUGGUAUUGUUGGUUCCUUCCGUUUACAAUAAUAAAAAGUUAAAAAGACAAAAUGUAAUGAGAAUAGUAAACAAAAACAAAAAAACCCACAAAAAACAGUGCUUUUCCGGUUCCUCAUUUCUAACUUCUUUCUCUACCGUUCCCUCUAGCAGAUGCGUGUCUGUGGACAAUUUUAAACAUUUUCUCUUCUCUUCACUUUCAUUUUGUCCCCUUUGUCGCCAUAUCCCUCUGGGUCCCUAAAUCCUUAAAACAUUUCCUCUUGUUUUCACAUUUAUAAUAAGCUCUAAAAGCAUUACUUUCUCCUUUUAUUUUAUUUAAAAAAUAGUUAAAUUUGUUUAUUUUUUUGGUCACACCCGCGGCAGGCAGAAGUUCCUGGGCUGGUGAUCACACCGGAGCCACGGCGCUGACACUGCUGGAUCCUUAACCCACGGAGCCAGCAGGGAACGCCACGUUCUCCUUCUCAAAUGCUCACCUUUUGUCUUUUCCUUGCAUUGUCUUUAGUUUUUUCUCUGCGUUUACAGAAUGUCUUCCAAGCACCACUUUCCUCUCCGCUUUCUUCCCUCUUUUCACUCUCUUCCCCUGCUCCCCGCUUCUCUACCUCAAGGGGCGGCUCUUCUUUUCGCUUCCCUCAUUCGUCGGUCAUGCCCCAUCCUCUCUGCUUCUUGCUUCUGCCUUCCCUCUUCCUCCCCAACUGCCUUUCCCCUUUUUCUUUCGCCCCCUUUCUAUCAGGCGUCUCUACGUCCUCUUUUUCUGUCUCUUUCCCUUAAAACUGUACUGUUGUGGAGAUGAACAUGGAAUACUGCAAGCGUAACUCGUGUUUUUUCUCUGAAAUAGUAAGAACCCAGGAAACGUAUAAGGAGAGAAGUAAUUCAUGAGAAUAAGAUACGAGACACACGUAUAUUCCGCAAUAUUAGAAGACGCCUUAGAAGUGGGUUGGUCAGAACCUUCUACGGAGGGCAUUGAUGCGGGACCAUGACGCUGCAUUUCUCCCAGGAGCAUUUUACUUGCCAAAAUGUCAUUUUAUCCCACGUUAUAAAUAUCUAAGAGUGCUGUUGGAAUCUUCCAGCUAUUGUAAAUUCAACAAGUUCACUUACACUCAAGCAAUGUUGGGCUCUGGGCAUUUGUAGGUUUCCUGCCCGGGCUGCUCAUGGCCUCCUGGCUUUCAGAUAUCCUAGGCACAUCCUGAAGACAGCUACGUGUUAGAAUUGGGACACCAGCUUAGAACCAAAGAGCGACAUUGGGAAUACUUGAUACCAACCUUGGGGGUUAAAGUCAGGUGCCACUCAAAGCAUCUGCAGAGGAGUUGAGCGAGCGUCUCUCCCUGAGGACAGUCAAGAAGUUAGUCACUAACCCUAACUGCUAAGUCUCAGAAUUAAUACAGACCAGGGGCACAGAGAUUGCUAAAUGAAGAGGGAUUACUCGAUAUUUUUGCCAUGGUUUCUAAAUCUAGGUCGACGGUAUUAUUACCCUUUCUGAACCGUGUAAUUGGCGUUAGGGAGAAGGGAGUUGUGUCUUCAUUUCGUACAGAGCACCUAGAAUGUGUGUGAGUGUGAAUAAAGUUUACUUUAGUGACUCAGACUCACGGUGGCCUCCGACACCUCCCAGGGUUUGUAGCCACCACACAAGACGCGUUAGCCCUCAGCCUGUGAUGCCCCCAGGGCGGAGACCGUGCUCCUUCAUCCAGCUCUUAGAACGCACAUACCUGUGGCGUUGAAUUUAUGAGCCAGCUUUCACUCCGGGAGCCUUGCUUCUCAGUUGGCGGGGGCUUCGCCCUGCUCCGUGUGACUUUCAUCUCAGGAUCCUGAACCAGAAGGCGCAGGCCUCCUCUGGGACACGUCAUCCUCCUGUCAGCAGGAAAAGAACAAGAGGGAGAUGAAGACAACACGCGGGAGGAUCCCUAAAGCUUUUACCCAGAACAGGCGACCCGACACCUGCUCUCGUCUCAAUGGCCGAAGCAAGUCACAUGUCCCAGCUACCCUCGCAGGCAGCGUUGACUUCGCCCACCAAAGGUACAUUGUGUGGCAAGACCUCAGACAUAGAAUGUUCUUACAAGGAAAGAGGCAUGAAUAAUCAGGAAGAACAGUACAGGUUCUACACAGAAUCAGUGCUACUGAAUUGGACUCUACGCAGAAGCAGGGAAGGGCCAAGCUAUUCUAUUGAGAAUGCGGAGACUCGUGGACGGUUUAAGAAUUUUGUCUUUCUUUAUCUUCCGCAGCAAGUUCCUCCACUUACAAGGGGAGUUAACUAUUAUCAUCAGAUCAGUACUUACUGCUGAUUCAACAGACACAAGUGAUUAUGAAAUGGUUAGACGGCAGCAGUCAUAUGACACAGAAAGAAAUGCAGAGCUUGUUAUCUCAGUAGGGAGAAAAACCUAUGGAAAUGAAUGAACCUCCCCGGCACCAGGAAAUGGACCAGGAGUGUAAGACACAAGACCGCGUGAUCUGGGGGUGACGCCCCGUAACCCAGCCUCCCUCCCUUCAACCAGAGCCCUAGGGAGGGACCUGUGCUCAGUGGAAUCCAAGAGCAAGGCGCUUUGCAAAUAGUUUUAGGGUGAGGAGUGCGGAAGAUGGACAGGUCUGUUAGGUGUCCAGCGCUUUACCUGGCUUGUUAAAAAGGACAGCACUUCGAGGCGCUGGCAGGACAAGGGAGGAAAAAAGGCAGCAUGGUUUAGUGAGCUUUAAUUUUUUUUUUUUUCCCAUAACCAGAGUAGCUGUGCCAGGUAAUAUAUUUACUUUAGUGCAAAAGUUCUUCGGUGUGCACAACUCCACUGAGUUCAUUAUAUUUUUUAAUGUAUCUCAGACUAAUUUCAGAUUCUGAUUUCCCAGUAUAAACUAGAGUAACCAAUAUAUAAUUAUUCUCAUAAAUAACUCAGCACCUUAUAUUUCAAACAGGUUUCCCCACAAGGCACAAGUGCCCUAUAUUAAAUUCUUUUAAGUGUAAGUUGAUUAAGGUAAAAAUUAGUUGUUAUUACCUUAUGGACAUUUUAGUUUUAGCAGCAAUUCAAAGCCAGGUCUAUCACAAGUAGAUUUGUUGCCGCCCACAGGUAUAAUCAUCAGGAAAAUUAAUAAUCAUGUUCGGUGUGACUAUAAAUCAUUGUGGUUUAGGCAAUUAAUUUCUGUAGAAAAAUGAAAGAUCUGUAAGUAUUAUUACUGUGCAAACUGCAUGUUGUGAAAACCCAGAUCCAACACAGUCAAAUUGCAAAUGCGGGGUUUCUAAUUUCAGAGUGUGAUAAUAUGGGGUCAUCAGAGGCAGGGAAGCUGACGAUUCUGAAUAAAUAAUGUGGUAAUUUUGAGCGGUUUAUGACUGUAGCUUUUCGUGCAUGCAGCAGUCAGGAUCUCUAAACCAGACACAGUGGAAAGAGGUGGGAAUUUCUAGUGAAGGCGGAGUAGGGAGCGGGAGGGAGUGUGCACAGGGGUCCCUGAGUGAAUUCCCCCUUGUGGCUGGGCAGGCAGCCUGAAAACCACGGUGUAGAACACGCUGCUUGCAGGACUGUUCUCACAGGACUUCUCUUCUGGUCUGUUCAGGGCGCAGCGUCAUACGGGGCACGCAGACCUCUAAUAAAAAAAGAAA